rnacentral:rRNA from 1 species
GAUGAACGCUAGCUACAGGCUUAACACAUGCAAGUCGAGGGGCAGCAUGAAAGGAACUUCGGUUCUUUUUGAUGGCGACCGGCGCACGGGUGCGUAACGCGUAUCGAACCUGCCUCAUACUCGGGGAUAGCCUUGCGAAAGUAAGAUUAAUACCCGGCGGUCUCGGAUGGCCGCAUGACUAUCCGAGUGAAGAUUUAUCGGUAUGAGGUGGCGAUGCGUCCCAUUAGCUAGUUGGUGAGGUAAUGGCUCACCAAGGCUACGAUCGGUAGGGGUUCUGAGAGGAAGGUCCCCCACACUGGAACUGAGACACGGUCCAG